rnacentral:sRNA from 1 species
GGCCUUUUGGAAACUCAUUGGCUUUGGAUUCCAUCGGAACUCCGAAAUUAAGCGAGUUCGGGUGAGAGCAAUCCUAGGAUAGGUGGCCCAUUGGGAAGUUCUCGUCUAAGUUCCUAGAAACAAAACCAUAAGGGCAUGGCCAGGUCCCAAGGCGGACAAUAUCGUGCUACGGCGGACUCGAGACUGGGAUGUGAUAGAAUGGUAUCAGAGCCACUUUGUUGUUCGGUGCGAGUGUGCCAACAAGGACGUCGGACCGCUAAGGGGAGUAGAUUGUAAUAUCUCACAUCGAUCAACGGAGAGGGGGUUAUGUGCCUUAUAUGUACAUGUCCACCUCCUAUAGGACGAGACUUUUUGGGAACUCAUUGGCUUCGGAUUCCAUCAGAACUCCGAAGUUAAGCAAUUUCGGGCGAGAGUAAUCCUAGGAUGGGUGAUCCACUGGGAAGUUCUCGUCUGAGUUACU